rnacentral:rRNA from 1 species
AUUGAACGCUGGCGGCAGGCCUAACACAUGCAAGUCGAACGCAGUGGGGACGGGUGAGUAAAACGUGGGUAACCUCCCAUCAGAGGGGAUAACACUUGGAAACAGGUGCUAAACCGCUACUGAUGGAUGGACCCGCGGUUCAUUAGCUAGUUGGUGAGGUAACGGCUCACCAAGGCCACGAUGGAUAGGCGACCGUAGAGGGUGAUCGGCCAGACUGGUACUGAGACACGGCCGAGACUCCUACGGGAUGCAGCAGUAGGGAAUCUGCGGCAAUGGACGAAAGUCGGACCGAGCAACGCCGCGUGAGUGAAGAAGUUUUUCGGAUCGUAAAACGAUGUUGUUAGAGAAGCGGUAUCUAACCAGAAAGCCACGGCUAACUCCGUGCCAGCAGCCGCGGUAAUAC